rnacentral:rRNA from 1 species
CCUACGGGAGGCAGCAGUGAGGAAUAUUGGUCAAUGGGCGCGAGCCUGAACCAGCCAAGUAGCGUGAAGGAUGACUGCCCUACGGGUUGUAAACCUCUUUUAUAAAGGAAUAAAGUGAGCCACGCGUGCCGUUUUGAAUGUACUCGAUGAAAAAGGAUCGGCUAACUCCGUGCCAGCAGCCGCGGUAAUACGGAGGAUCCGAGCGUUAUCCGGAUUUAUUGGGGUUAAAGGGAGCGUAGAUGGGUUGUUAAGUCAGGUGUGAAAGUUUGCGGCUCAACCGUAAAAUUGCAAUUGAUACUGGCAGUCUUGAGUACACUUGAGGUAGGCGGAAUGCGUGGUGUAGCGGUGAAAUGCUUAGAUAUCACGAAGAACUCCGAUUGCGAAGGCAGCUUACU